UGUAGAGAUGCAUUUUUUUGACAAUGGUAGAACCUUUUCUGGGGAGUGGGACAGAAAUGAUAUUUUCGCAAAAUUUAUUUCGCCGUCCCACCCCAACUUGCAUUGUCUGUAGAAAUUGGGAAUCCAAUUUCUCUUUGUUGGGGCCCCGCCCCAACUCGCAUUGCCUGUAGAAUUUCUUUUCGAAAUUCUCUGUGUUGGGGCC
rnacentral:snRNA from 2 species